GAUGAACGCUGGCGGCGUGCUUAACACAUGCAAGUCGAACGAUGAAGCCCAGCUUGCUGGGUGGAUUAGUGGCGAACGGGUGAGUAACACGUGAGUAUCCUGCCCUUAACUCUGUGAUAAGCCUGGGAAACAGGGUCGAAUACCGGAUAGGAGCGCCUACCGCACGGGGGGGGUUGGAAAGAUUUAUCGGUUUUGGAUGGACUCGCGGCUUAUCAGCUUGUUGGUGGGGUAAUGGCGCACCAAGGCGACGACGGGUAGCCGGCCUGAGAGGGUGACCGGCCACACUGGGACUGAGACACGGCCCAGACUCCUACGGGAGGCAGCAGUGGGGAAUAUUGCACAAUGGGCGAAAGCCUGAUGCAGCGACGCCGCGUGAGGGAUGACGGCCUUCGGGUUGUAAACCUCUUUCAGUAGGGAAGAAGCGAAAGUGACGGUAACUGCUGAAGAAGCACCGGCUAACUACGUG
rnacentral:rRNA from 1 species